rnacentral:rRNA from 1 species
AGUCACGAGUUUGAUCCUGGCUCAGAACAACGCUGGCGGCAUGCCUAACACAUGCAAGUCGAACGCCCUCUUCGGAGGGAGUGGCGCACGGGUGCGUAACGCGUGGGAACCUGCCUUUAGGUUCGGAAUAACUCAGAGAAAUUUGAGCUAAUACCGGAUAAUGUCUUCGGACCAAAGAUUUAUCGCCUUUAGAUGGGCCCGCGUUGGAUUAGCUAGUUGGUGGGGUAAAGGCCUACCAAGGCGACGAUCCAUAGCUGGUCUGAGAGGAUGAUCAGCCACACUGGGACUGAGACACGGCCCAGACUCCUACGGGAGGCAGCAGUGGGGAAUAUUGGACAAUGGGCGAAAGCCUGAUCCAGCAAUGCCGCGUGAGUGAUGAAGGCCUUAGGGUUGUAAAGCUCUUUUACCCGAGAUGAUAAUGACAGUAUCGGGAGAAUAAGCUCCGGCUAACUCCGUG